AACGAACGCUGGCGGCAGGCCUAACACAUGCAAGUCGAACGCCCUAGCAAUAGGGAGUGGCGCACGGGUGAGUAACGCGGGGGAACAGGCGUUUCAGUCUGGAAUAACUGCGGGAAACUGCAGCUAAUACCGGAUAGUCUCUACGGAGGAAAGAUUUAUGGAUGAAAGAUCGGGCCGCGUUAGAUUAGGUAGUUGGUGGGGUAAUGGCCUAACAGGCCUACGAUCUAUAGCUGGGCUGGAAGGAUGAUAAGGCACAUUGGAAAUGUGACACGGUCCAAACUCAUACGGGAGGCGGCAGUGGGGAAUAUUGGACAAUGGGCGGAAGCCUGAUCCAGCCAUGCCGCGUGAGUGACGAAGGCCUUAGGGUUGUAAAGCUCUUUUGUCAGGGAAGAUAAUGACGGUACCUGAAGAAUAAGACACGGCUAACUUCGUGCCAGCCGCCGCCGUAA
rnacentral:rRNA from 1 species